rnacentral:rRNA from 1 species
GAUGAACGCUGGCGGCGUGCCUAAUACAUGCAAGUCGAACGAAGUCUUCGGACUUAGUGGCGAACGGGUGAGUAACACGUUGGUACCUACCCCGAAGUGGGGAAUAACUGCCCGAAAGGGUGGCUAAUACCGCAUAAUACCGCAAGGUUAAAGCAGUAAUGCGCUUCGGGAGGGGCCUGCGUCCCAUUAGCUAGUUGGUAGGGUAAUGGCCUACCAAGGCGACGAUGGGUAGCUGGAUCGAGAGGUGACCAGCCACACUGGGACUGAGAUACGGCCCAGACUCCUACGGGAGGCAGCAGUAAGGAAUCUUCCACAAUGGACGAAAGUCUGAUGGAGCAACGCCGCGUGCAGGAUGACGGCCUU